GUAGGUGGCAAGCGUUGUCCGGGAAUUAUUGGGGCGUAAAGCGCGCGCAGGCGGUUCUUUAAGUCUGAUGUGAAAGCCCACGGGCUCAACCGUGGAGGGUCAUUGGAAACUGGAGAACUUGAGUACAGAAGAGGAAAGCGGAAUUCCACGUGUAGCGGUGAAAUGCGUAGAGAUGUGGAGGAACACCAGUGGCGAAGGCGGCUUUCUGGUCUGUAACUGACGCUGAGGCGCGAAAGCGUGGGGAGCAAACAGGAUUAGAUACCCUGGUAGUCCACGCCGUAAACGAUGAGUGCUAAGUGUUAGGGGGUUUCCGCCCCUCAGUGCUGCAGCUAACGCAUUAAGCACUCCGCCUGGGGAGUACGGCCGCAAAGGCUGA
rnacentral:rRNA from 1 species